ACUCAGGCUGGGAUUGUUUUUGAGCUCUGAGAUCUUCCUCCAGAAAACUGUUGCCCACCGGGUCACCUACCAGGGCCAGGCACCACACGCAUAGUUGAAGCAGAAAUGAGUUACUUCCUGCUCUCCUAGUCUCAUGCACUGUCCUGUGACUCCUCUCCGUGACUCAUCCCAGAAGUUCGUUCAAGAUCAAAGAUCAUUCCUGGAAGAUACUUCACAUCUACUGCUCCACCUUUUCCAGCUGCUGCCCAAGGAUCUGUCUUCCAAUCUGCCUGUCUCUGAAAAUGAGGAGAAAGUCACUCCCUAGCCCCUGGGGAGUCUGAAUGGGCAGGUGGGUACUUAAUGCAGCUUCUUUCCCCAGCUAGCUCCAGAGACAACCGUCCACCUAACCUACCCGUCUCUGAGAUAUGACAGAACCCAACAACCACUAAACCCCCAGCAGUAACAAAGCACAAAGCACUUUUGAAAAAGUGUGCAGUCUGAGCAAGGGUUCAGGCAUUUUUCACAGAUUCUGUCCCCACUAUAGCACAAAGUGAGUGGAAGAAAACUUCCGGGUUCCCAGCCUCUGCCUAAGAAGAGAAAUGGACCACAGCUGUAAUAGAAAAGAACAAAUCUGACUCCAUAUCAGAUCUGUUUCC